CUCCUACUCCCUCUUCCAUCUAAUUCUUCAUUAAGAUUAAUUUUUAAUUAACUUUAUAUACAGAAGACCAACUCUAUAUUAGGUAAAUAUUCCUACAAGUUACACCCACACAGACACACAAAAAUAUAAAGUACUGUUUGAAUACUAGUUUUAUGGUUAAUUCGCAUAGUACAACACAUUAAAGACAGAGUCCUACAUGGGGAGCAAGUGCACAGUGACUCCUGUUGCUGAUUUAACAAUUGACAUGCUUAUUUAUGACGUCAGUGAUCUCCCCAGGCUCUUGUUUCAGUUUCCUUCCGCAGAGUUAGCUGUCUUGACUCCGAAGCCUACAUUGGCGGUAGAUAUUAUCCCUUUAACUGAAAUGAAGUCCCAAAAGCAUUCACUGAAUGGAAAGGCUGAAAUCACGGAAGAGAUACAGAUAGAGAGAAACGUGGAACUGGAAGAAGCAGCAGUGCCCAGACCCCAUUCCUGGAGCAACACCGUCCCCCCUACACACGGGGUUUAGGAAUCUCAGAAAGAAAUGCCCAGGAAACACUGAGCAGAGCAUAUUACAAGCAUGACCGAUACUUUGGCCUUCACUGAGAACCAAGGUCAAAACAUGUACUUGAUUAGACUUGCCAAGAGUUCAUUAUUCAUUGGGACCAUCAUUGGGACUCAAUGGGUUAAGCCGCCACUUGCAAUGCAAGCAUCCCCAUUUGGAGCGCUGGUUUGGCUUCCGAUCCAGCUUCCUGCUAAUGAAUCUUGGAAGGCAGUGGAAAGUGGCCCAAGUUGGGCCCCUACCAGUCAUGUGGAAGACCCAGAUAAGAGUUCCUGGAUCCUGGAUUCAGCCUCGCCCAGACUUGAAUUUUGUCAUUUGGGAAGUGAACUAGCAAACGAAAGUCUCCUGCUCGCUCACUCUUGCUCUUGCUCCCUUGCAAAUAAAUAAAUAUUAAUGAAGAAUCCACUGCUCGCAUCACAUAAUUGCCACUCUAGUAGUAAUAAUCUAUGAAAUUACCUAGGGUCUAGGAAAUUAAGAAAAUUGUCAGUUUUGCUAGGGUUGCUCUGAGUUCUCAGAGCACAGAGCUUGAUUCCUGAGGGUCAAAAUACCUUGGAAUCUAAACAAAGCUCACAACACUUGACAACCACCCACCACUGAUCUUCUGUGUGAUCCUAGGUGAUCCUGGUGAAUCAUUUUUAUAUCUAUAAAAUAAGCAUGCACCAUGUUUAUGAGCCUGAUGUAAUCCAAGUACCGGGCAGUUGAAAUUUUCUCUAAAAAAUGUCUGCUUCCAAGAGCAGAGAAUGACUGCAUAGCAUUGCAAUUUUUUUUUUAAAGAUUUUUUAUCUAUUUAUUCGAAAGUCAGAGAGUUACACAGAGAGAAGAGAGACAGAGAGAGAGAGAGAGAUAGGUCUUCCAUCCGAUGGUUCACUCCCCAAUUGGCCGCAACGGCCAGAGAUGCGCCGAUCUGAAGCCAGGAGCCAGGAGCUUCUACCGGGUCUCCCAUGUAGCUGCAGAAGCCCAAGGACUUGGGCCAUCCUCCACUGCUUUCCCAGGCCAUAGCAGAGAGUUGGAUGGGAUGUGGAGCAGCCGGGACUAGAACCGGCGCCCACAUGGGAUGCUGGUUCUUCAGGCCAGGGUGUUAACCUGCUGCGCCACAGCGCCGGCCCUAGCAUUACAUUUUGAACCAACUUGGAUGAGAACUCCUACUGGAUUCAAAUAAUUAAAACAGGAAGAUCUAGUAAAGGUGAAACUAAGAUAAUGGGGGCCAGGUGGGGGGUGGUUAAUGAGACUUGGCUGAUUUCCAUGUCACUCUGGGAGAUACCUGAGUGAGCAGACAUGCUGGGCUGGAGAAUUCAGGACUUGGUCCAGGGAGGGGCUGAUCCCUGAAAAGAUACAUCUGGUUGCUGUAGGGAGUCUGGGUUUCACAUUCCAUGUCAAUAUUAUCAGGAUCUCAGUGAGCUGGGGAGGUCACUGGGUGUUGCAAUAGCCAAUUACAGCAAAAACAAAGCAAACAAAACCACAGUGAAACCUGAAGCACUUGCUGCCAGAAGCAAGAGGCUAACACGGAGGAAAGCACCCGCUCUCCUCCCGGCCACUUCAUUUUUCUCCAUGAAAAGCCUGUCUGGUGCAGGGUCAAGUAGAGGUUCUCUAGUGUUUGAGGAAGUUGCAGACAAAAGCUCUUGCAGUUGGAGGAAUAAGAGGCCAGGGAGGAGGGAGAGGGGAAAGCCUAGGAGUGCAAAAGUACUGGGUACUGAUGGGAAUACAGAAAGGGGUCCUCAAGUUUCCUCUGACAUCCCGUAAGGAGGUCCUGAAGAGGACCCCUGGGAAGGAAGGUGAAGGUGAACACUCUAGGAAUGCAAAAGAGAGGGGAACCUCAACGAGUUCUCAGAAAAUACCUAGUAUGAGAAAAACAGGCAUGGAGAUAUCUCAUCUUUUUUGGCAACAAAAUAAAUUUGUUUUAAUUCCAUUUGUCCA
ensembl:lncRNA